UCACAGUAAAUUUCAUUGUGU
rnacentral:piRNA from 1 species